UCAGCUCAAGAGACUAUUGUUGUCAUUGCUGUGGAUCUUUACCUGAUACACUGACUUGGCUCGGGACCAGCACUCCUGUUGUUGGACAGAAAGACAUCAACUCAGUGACUUGAGAUAUGACUGCACUAUGCUGUUGCUGUGACUCCAGUUAAUUA